rnacentral:tRNA from 6 species
GGCGGAUGUAGCCAAGUGGAUCAAGGCAGUGGAUUUGUGAU